CCUACGGGAGGCAGCAGUGGGGAAUCUUGCGCAAUGGGCGAAAGCCUGACGCAGCAACGCCGCGUGGGGGAUGAAGCUUUUCGGAGUGUAAACCCCUUUCGACCCGGAUGCAGUACGGGUAUAAGAAGCCCCGGCUAACUACGUGCCAGCAGCCGCGGUAAAACGUAGGGGGCCAGCGUUGCUCGGAAUUACUGGGCGUAAAGGGUCUGUAGGCGGUGCGGCAAGUCGGAAGUGAAAUCUCAGGGCUUAACCCUGAGGCUGCUCCCGAAACUGCUGUGCUCGAGUGCGAGAGAGGCGAGUGGAAUUGCAGGUGUAGCGGUGAAAUGCGUAGAUAUCUGCAGGAACAUCCGAGGCGAAAGCGGCUCGCUGGAUCGCACUGACGCUGAGAGACGAAAGCUAGGGGAGCAAACAGGAUUAGAUACCCUUGUAGUC
rnacentral:rRNA from 1 species